GACGAACGCUGGCGGCGUGCUUAACACAUGCAAGUCGAACGGAAAGGCCCUGCUUUUGUGGGGUGCUCGAGUGGCGAACGGGUGAGUAACACGUGAGUAACCUGCCCUUGACUUUGGGAUAACUUCAGGAAACUGGGGCUAAUACCGGAUAGGAGCUCCUGCUGCAUGGUGGGGGUUGGAAAGUUUCGGCGGUUGGGGAUGGACUCGCGGCUUAUCAGCUUGUUGGUGGGGUAGUGGCUUACCAAGGCUUUGACGGGUAGCCGGCCUGAGAGGGUGACCGGCCACAUUGGGACUGAGAUACGGCCCAGACUCCUACGGGAAGCAGCCGGUGGGAAUAUUGCACAAUGGGCGGAAGCCUGAUGCAGCAACGCCGCGUGCGGGAUGACGGGCUUCGGGUUGUAAACCGCUUUCGCCUGUGACGAAGCGUGAGUGACGGUAAUGGGUAAAGAAGCACCGGCUAACUACGUG
rnacentral:rRNA from 1 species